UCCACUGCGAGGUGGAAUCUGAAGGAAGUUGGAGGCAAAGCCACGGCCUGAUGAACAAGAACCCCAUAGGAGGCUAGACCGUUCGGAUGAGCUGGCAUAGCACAGCGAAAUCCCAGGCUGCCAAGGGGCGGUAGAGUAUAUGGGGCGGGCGCGGGGCGAAGGUUAACGCU
rnacentral:ncRNA from 1 species